rnacentral:rRNA from 1 species
UACAGAGGUCUCAAGCGUUGUUCGGAUUCAUUGGGCGUAAAGGGUGUGUAGGUGGCGCGCUAAGUCGGGUGUGAAAUUUCGGAGCUUAACUCCGAAACUGCACUCGAUACUGGCGUGCUUGAGGACUGGAGAGGAGACUGGAAUUCAUGGUGUAGCAGUGAAAUGCGUAGAGAUCAUGAGGAAGACCAGUGGCGAAGGCGGGUCUCUGGACAGUUCCUGACACUGAGACACGAAGGCCAGGGGAGCAAACGGG